GAUGAACGCUAGCGGCAGGCUUAAUACAUGCAAGUCGUGGGGCAGCAGGUUUGUAGCAAUACAGAUGCUGGCGACCGGCAAACGGGUGCGGAACACGUACAGAACCUUCCUUUGAGCGGGGAAUAGCCCAGAGAAAUUUGGAUUAAUACCCCAUAGUAUAAUGAAGUGGCAUCACUUUAUUAUUAAAGAUUUAUCACUCGAAGAUGGCUGUGCGGCUGAUUAGGUAGUUGGCGGGGUAAAGGCCCACCAAGCCUGCGAUCAGUAACUGGUGUGAGAGCACGACCAGUCACACGGGCACUGAGACACGGGCCCGACUCCUACGGGAGGCAGCAGUAAGGAAUAUUGGUCAAUGGAGGCAACUCUGAACCAGCCAUGCCGCGUGGAGGAUGAAGGUCCUCUGGAUUGUAAACUUCUUUAUAUGGGACGAAAAAAGGCUUUUCUAAGUCGUCUGACGGUACCAUAUGAAUAAGCACCGGCUAACUCCGUGCCAGCAG
rnacentral:rRNA from 1 species